UAUGUGAUCGUCUCUCGCAUAUCAAUAAGCGGAGGAAAAGAAACUAACAAGGAUUCCCCUAGUAACGGCGAGUGAAGCGGGAAGAGCUCAAAUUUGAAAUCUUAAAGGGUUUCCCUUUACGAAUUGUAGUUUAAAGAAGUGUUUUCUGUUGAGGUUUUGGUAAAAGUUCUUUGGAAUAGGACAUCAUAGAGGGUGAGAAUCCCGUAUUUGACCUUUACUUUCAACUUUGUGAUACACUUUCAAAGAGUCGGAUUGUUUGGGAAUGCAGUCCAAAAUGGGUGGUAAAUUUCAUCUAAAGCUAAAUAUUGGCGAGAGACCGAUAGCGAACAAGUACCGUGAGGGAAAGAUGAAAAGAACUUUGGAAAGAGAGUUAAACAGUACGUGAAAUUGUCAAAAGGGAAGCGUUUGACACCAGUGUUGUUUUUCUGAAAAUCAAUUAAAGAACUGUUUAUGCUAAGUUGUUUAGACUUUAUCAGCUAACUGUCUAGUUUUGAGCUUUUCUUUAAUGCACUUUUCAGUUAACAAGUCAACAUCAAUUUCUUUUGCUGUAAAAAAGCUUGAGGAAGGUGGCUUGAGAUUCGUCUUAAGUGUUUAUAGCCUCUUGCCUAUGCAGUCGGAGAGAUUGAGGUCUGCAGCGUAGAUCCUUCGGGGCUAAAUGCAUUUGUGCUAAGUUAUAGCAUUUUAUAGACAACUUGUUGACUAUGAUUUGUCUUGUAGCUUACUCGCUUAUGUUAUUUUACCUACGCUUAGGAUGUUGAAGAUAUGCGCGACACG
rnacentral:rRNA from 1 species